rnacentral:rRNA from 1 species
UACAGAGGUCUCAAGCGUUGUUCGGAUUCAUUGGGCGUAAAGGGUGCGUAGGCGGCGCGGUAAGUCGGGUGUGAAAUCUCGGAGCUUAACUCCGAAACUGCAUUCGAUACUGCCGUGCUUGAGGACUGGAGAGGAGACUGGAAUUUACGGUGUAGCGGGAAAUGCGUAGAUAUCGUAAGGAAGACCAGUGGCGAAGGCGGGUCUCUGGACAGUUCCUGACGCUGAGGCACGAAGGUCAGGGGAGCAAACGGG